CCUACGGGUGGCAGCAGUGGGGAAUAUUGCACAAUGGGGGAAACCCUGAUGCAGCGACGCCGCGUGAGUGAAGAAGUAUCUCGGUACGUAAAGCUCUAUCAGCAGGGAAGAAAAUGACGGUACCUGACUAAGAAGCCCCGGCUAACUACGUGCCAGCAGCCGCGGUAAUACGUAGGGGGCGAGCGUUAUCCGGAUUGACUGGGUGUAAAGGGAGCGUAGAUGGCAGCACAAGUCAGGAGUGAAAUCCCGGGGCUUAACCCCGGAACUGCUUUGGAAACUGUGCGGCUGGAGUGCAUGAGGGGGAAGGAGAAUUCCUAGUGUAGCGGUGAAAUGCGUAGAUAUUUGGAGGAAUACCGGUGGCGAAGGCGGCUUACUGGACUGUAACUGACGUUGAGGCUCGAAAGCGUGGGGAGCAAACAGGAUUAGAUACCCUUGUAGUC
rnacentral:rRNA from 1 species